CCUACGGGAGGCAGCAGUAAGGAAUAUUGGUCAAUGGACGCAAGUCUGAACCAGCCAUGCCGCGUGAAGGAUUAAGGCCCUCUGGGUUGUAAACUUCUUUUAUAGGGGACGAAAAAAGGGCAUUCUUGCUCACUUGACGGUACCCUAGGAAUAAGCACCGGCUAACUCCGUGCCAGCAGCCGCGGUAAUACGGAGGGUGCAAGCGUUAUCCGGAUUUACUGGGUUUAAAGGGUGCGUAGGUGGGUUGGUAAGUCAGCGGUGAAAUCUUCGAGCUUAACUCGGAAACUGCCAUUGAUACUAUCAAUCUUGAAUCAUCUAGAGGUAAGCGGAAUAUGUCAUGUAGCGGUGAAAUGCUUAGAUAUGACAUAGAACACCAAUUGCGAAGGCAGCUUACUAUGGAUGUAUUGACACUGAGGCACGAAAGCGUGGGGAUCAAACAGGAUUAGAUACCCUGGUAGUCCACGCCCUAAACGAUGGAUACUCGACAUUUGUGAUAUACUAUAAGUGUCUGAGCGAAAGCAUUAAGUAUCCCACCUGGGAAGUACGACCGCAAGGUUGAAACUCAAAGGAAUUGACGGCUGAGAGNGCGAGACGACGACGAGGGAGGAGG
rnacentral:rRNA from 1 species